rnacentral:rRNA from 1 species
GUUUGAUCAUGGCUCAGGAUGAANGCUAGCUACAGGCUUAACACAUGCAAGUCGAGGGGCAGCAUGGUCUUAGCUUGCUAAGGCCGAUGGCGACCGGCGCACGGGUGAGUAACACGUAUCCAACCUGCCGUCUACUCUUGGACAGCCUUCUGAAAGGAAGAUUAAUACAAGAUGGCAUCAUGAGUCCGCAUGUUCACAUGAUUAAAGGUAUUCCGGUAGACGAUGGGGAUGCGUUCCAUUAGAUAGUAGGCGGGGUAACGGCCCACCUAGUCUUCGAUGGAUAGGGGUUCUGAGAGGAAGGUCCCCCACACCGGAACUGAGACACGGUCCAAACUCCUACGGGAGGCAGCAGUGAGGAAUAUUGGUCAAUGGGCGAGAGCCUGAACCAGCCAAGUAGCGUGAAGGAUGACUGCCCUAUGGGUUGUAAACUUCUUUUAUAAAGGAAUAAAGUCGGGUAUGCAUACCCGUUUGCAUGUACUUUAUGAAUAAGGAUCGGCUAACUCCGUGCCAGCAGCCGCGGUAAUACGGAGGAUCCGAGCGUUAUCCGGAUUUAUUGGGUUUAAAGGGAGCGUAGAUGGAUGUUUAAGUCAGUUGUGAAAGUUUGCGGCUCAACCGUAAAAUUGCAGUUGAUACUGGACAUCUUGAGUGCAGUUGAGGCAGGCGGAAUUCGUGGUGUAGCGGUGAAAUGCUUAGAUAUCACGAAGAACUCCGAUUGCGAAGGCAGCCUGCUAAGCUGCAACUGACAUUGAGGCUCGAAAGUGUGGGUAUCAAACAGGAUUAGAUACCCUGGUAGUCCACACGGUAAACGAUGAAUACUCGCUGUUUGCGAUAUACAGCAAGCGGCCAAGCGAAAGCGUUAAGUAUUCCACCUGGGGAGUACGCCGGCAACGGUGAAACUCAAAGGAAUUGACGGGGGCCCGCACAAGCGGAGGAACAUGUGGUUUAAUUCGAUGAUACGCGAGGAACCUUACCCGGGCUUAAAUUGCAGAUGAAUUACGGUGAAAGCCGUAAGCCGCAAGGCAUCUGUGAAGGUGCUGCAUGGUUGUCGUCAGCUCGUGCCGUGAGGUGUCGGCUUAAGUGCCAUAACGAGCGCAACCCUUGUUGUCAGUUACUAACAGGUUCUGCUGAGGACUCUGACAAGACUGCCAUCGUAAGAUGUGAGGAAGGUGGGGAUGACGUCAAAUCAGCACGGCCCUUACGUCCGGGGCUACACACGUGUUACAAUGGGGGGUACAGAGGGCCGCUACCACGCGAGUGGAUGCCAAUCCCAAAAACCUCUCUCAGUUCGGACUGGAGUCUGCAACCCGACUCCACGAAGCUGGAUUCGCUAGUAAUCGCGCAUCAGCCACGGCGCGGUGAAUACGUUCCCGGGCCUUGUACACACCGCCCGUCAAGCCAUGGGAGCCGGGGGUACCUGAAGUGCGUAACCGCGAGGAGCGCCCUAGGGUAAAACUGGUGACUGGGGCUAA